UCCGUAGGGGGCUAGCGUUGCUCGGAAUUACUGGGCGUAAAGGGUGCGUAGGUGGCUUUUCAGGUCAGGGGUGAAAUCCUGGAGCUCAACUCCAGAACUGCCUUUGAUACUGAAAGUCUUGAGUUCGGGAGAGGUGAGUGGAACUGCGAGCGUAGAGGUGAAAUUCGUAGAUAUUCGCAAGAACACCAGUGGCGAAGGCGGCUCACUGGCCCGAUACUGACACUGAGGCACGAAAGCGUGGGGAGCAAACAGG
rnacentral:rRNA from 1 species